rnacentral:rRNA from 1 species
CUACGGGACGCACCAGUGGGGAAUAUUGCACAAUGGGCGCAAGCCUGAUGCAGCCAUGCCGCGUGUAUGAAGAAGGCCUUCGGGUUGUAAAGUACUUUCAGCGGGGAGGAAGGGAGUAAAGUUAAUACCUUUGCUCAUUGACGUUACCCGCAGAAGAAGCACCGGCUAACUCCGUGCCAGCAGCCGCGGUAAUACGGAGGGUGCAAGCGUUAAUCGGAAUUACUGGGCGUAAAGCGCACGUAGGCGGGUUGUUAAGUCAGAUGUGAAAUCCCCGGGCUCAACCUGGGAACUGCAUCUGAUACUGGCAAGCUUGAGUCUCGUAGAGGGGGGUAGAAUUCCAGGUGUAGCGGUGAAAUGCGUAGAGAUCUGGAGGAAUACCGGUGGCGAAGGCGGCCCCCUGGACGAAGACUGACGCUCAGGUGCGAAAGCGUGGGGAGCAAACAGGAUUAGAUACCCUAGUAGUC